rnacentral:tRNA from 1 species
UUUCAUAUAGUUUAAAAGAAAACAUUACAUUUUCAUUGUAAAAAUAAAAAAAUUUUUUUAUAAAUA